rnacentral:rRNA from 1 species
UACGGAGGGUGCGAGCGUUAUCCGGAUUCACUGGGUUUAAAGGGUGCGUAGGUGGGUCUGUAAGUCAGUGGUGAAAUCUCCGGGCUUAACCUGGAAACUGCCAUUGAUACUAUAGGUCUUGAAUUUUCUGGAGGUAAGCGGAAUAUGUCAUGUAGCGGUGAAAUGCUUAGAUAUGACAUAGAACACCAAUUGCGAAGGCAGCCCGCUACGCAACGAUUGACGCUGAGGCACGAAAGCGUGGGGAUCAAACAGGG